rnacentral:rRNA from 1 species
UGGGGAAUUUUGCACAAUGGGGGAAACCCUGAUGCAGCGACGCCGCGUGAUUUAGAAGGCCUUCGGGUUGUAAAAAUCUUUUCUAUGGGAAGAAAAUGACAGUACCAUAGGAAUAAGGACCGGCUAAUUACGUGCCAGCAGCCGCGGUAAUACGUAAGGUCCGAGCGUUGUCCGGAAUCAUUGGGCGUAAAGGGUACGUAGGCGGGUAAGCAAGUUAGAAGUGAAAUCCUGUAGCUCAACUACAGUAAGCUUUUAAAACUGCUCAUCUUGAGAUAUGGAAGGGAAAGUGGAAUUCCUAGUGUAGCGGUGAAAUGCGCAGAUAUUAGGAGGAAUACCGGUGGCGAAGGCGACUUUCUGGCCAUAAUCUGACGCUGAGGCUCGAAAGCGUGGGGAGCGAACAGG